rnacentral:rRNA from 1 species
GAUGAACGCUGGCGGCGUGCUUAACACAUGCAAGUCGAACGGUGAAGCAGAGCUUGCUCUGUGGAUCAGUGGCGAACGGGUGAGUAACACGUGAGCAACCUGCCCCUGACUCUGGGAUAAGCGCUGGAAACGGCGUCUAAUACUGGAUAUAAGCUGCGACCGCAUGGUCAGCAGUUGGAAAGAUUUUUCGGUCUGGGAUGGGCUCACGGCCUAUCAGCUUGUUGGUGAGGUAAUGGCUCACCAAGGCGUCGACGGGUAGCCGGCCUGAGAGGGUGACCGGCCACACUGGGACUGAGACACGGCCCAGACUCCUACGGGAGGCAGCAGUGGGGAAUAUUGCACAAUGGGCGAAAGCCUGAUGCAGCAACGCCGCGUGAGGGAUGACGGCCUUCGGGUUGUAAACCUCUUUUAGCAGGGAAGAAGCGAAAGUGACGGUACCUGCAGAAAAAGCGCCGGCUAACUACGUG